UUUCGUCCACGUGGGGGCGAAAGCGAGCAUCAGCCAGCGACCUAUAUAACCUGAAAGCUAACGUUGUGGCGUCCUUUUCUGUAGUUGGAAGUGAGGAAGUUGUUCACAAUGCUUCCCAGUGUUAAAGGUUCAGUUAAUUCACAUCCCAGGCGGCAUAUUAAUCGCAUUUCAUUCGCUGGUCGUCUCUUCCAGCCAGAUGUUGGAUGACCGUAUCUUUAGUUCAUUGACCAGAUGGAUGAUGCUGCAGCAGGCUAUUGAAGCAGCAUAAUGAAUGUGCAGUGGGGGUCCCAGUAGAGCUGCAACGUAAUUUUUUGUUGCAACGGGAUGACUCCUAACUUAAUAUUCUAGCAGCAACGAACCACUGAGCAGGAAAUGAACGAGGCCUUUCUACACCCUCACCUUGCAGCACUUGGAUUUUAUCAUCACUCUGAAGACUUGCUGAUGUUUGCAGUUUCUUCUAAUAAACCAUAAAAAUCCUUAAA